GAGUUUGAUCUUCGCUCAGAACGAACGCUGGCGGCAGGCCUAACACAUGCAAGUCGAACGAUGUAGCAAUACAUAGUGGCGCACGGGUGAGUAACGCGCCCGAAUGUACCUCUUGGUGGGGAAUAACUCCGGGAAACUGGAGCUAAUACCGCAUACGCCCUUCGGGGGAAAGAUUUAUCGCCAAAAGAUCAGCCCGCGUGAGAUUAGAUAGUUGGUGGGGUAAUGGCCUACCAAGUCUACGAUCUCUAGCUGGUCUUAGAGGAUGACCAGCCACACUGGAACUGAGACACGGUCCAGACUCCUACGGGAGGCAGCAGUGGGGAAUAUUGGACAAUGGGCGAAAGCCUGAUCCAGCCAUGCCGCGUGAGUGAUGAAGGCUCUAGGGUUGUAAAGCUCUCUCGCCGAUGAAGAUAAUGACGGUAGUCGGAGAAGAAGCCCCGGCUAACUUCGUGCCAGCAGCC
rnacentral:rRNA from 1 species